AGACUGCAGGCUGCAACUCGCCUGCACGAAGUCGGAAUUGCUAGUAAUCGUAGGUCAGCAUGCUACGGUGAAUACGUUCCCGGGCCUUGUACACACCGCCCGUCAAACCAUGAGAGUUGGCAACACCCGAAGUCGGUAGUCUAACCGCAAGGAGGACGCCGCCGAAGGUGGGGUUGAUGAUUAGGGUUAAGUCGUAACAAGGUAAC
rnacentral:rRNA from 1 species